GGGGCUGUUUUGAUUCGACAGAGUUUUCGUAGGUAUGGGUACAAGUAGUAGGCGUACUUAAAACGCAACAAUAAAAUAAUCGGAAACGAUAUUGAUAAUUUUGCACCUGCUUUUGCCUAAUUAGGUAGAAGGUGCGUUUAGCUUACUCUUUGUUCACGAGAGUAAUGUCUAGACUCAUAAAAGUGAACUAUAUUAUGAAUUGUUUAGGUUUCAUAAUGAAAAAUACUAAACUUAGGCUAAUAUUGGAUCGUUGGCUCUCCUAAAUAUUAGCUAAAAUAUAAACCAACUAAACUUGUAAGAAUGCCUGUAUACUUGAUGCUUUGGACACGAAGUCGCUCUUCGUCAGCUCCACC
rnacentral:tmRNA from 1 species